rnacentral:rRNA from 1 species
GGCUUGACAUAUACAGGAAUAUGGCAGAGAUGUCAUAGCCGCAAGGUCUGUAUACAGGUGGUGCAUGGUUGUCGUCAGCUCGUGUCGUGAGAUGUUGGGUUAAGUCCCGCAACGAGCGCAACCCUCGUUCUGUGUUGCCAGCAUUUAGUUGGGGACUCACAGGAGACUGCCGGGGUUAACUCGGAGGAAGGUGGGGAUGACGUCAAAUCAUCAUGCCCCUUAUGUCUUUGGGCUGCACGCGUGCUACAAUGGCUGGUACAAACGGCUGCGAUACCGCAAGGUGGAGCGAAUCCGACAAAGCCAGUCUCAGUUCGGAUUGGGGUCUGCAACUCGACCCCAUGAAGUCGGAGUUGCUAGUAAUCGUAGAUCAGCAACGCUACGGUGAAUACGUUCCCGGGGCUUGUACACACCGCCCGUCACAUCACGAAAGUCGGUAACACCCAAAGUCAGUGCCC